rnacentral:misc_RNA from 1 species
GGAACAUUAGUCUUUUGAAGUGCUAAAUCGCCAGUUAUCCAUAAUUCAAACUAUGCAAUCUUGAACACAAAUUGCCAGAGCUGUAGUGAUUUCGGUAACACUAACGUGUCAUGCAAUGCAAAAAUGCCUCACCAGAGAUCAAUCGACACUAAUUACCAAUAAACUUGAUUCAAUAAUAUAUAUUGAACUGUAAAAUUAUAAGCUCAAGCAAGUACUCAUUCUCUCUCUAAAAGUCCUCUUUAUUGUCCUCCGGCUUUCUGCUCAAAUUAAAGGAGCUUGCUUGUUGGCUCUUCUGGCUCUCCCCUGCCCCUUUUGGGCGAGGGAAGUUCUCAUUCGUGACCGACUGUGAAUUUCAUCCUCACCGUCUUUGGUUGGGGUGCAUAUAGAUUUUUUGGGUCACUUUUGUGGGCGGUGGUUGCAGAUUGAACUCCUUAUUAAGGUUUUGCAUUAAUCGUCGAGGAUGGAAGCUGCUCUCUUGUGAAGAUCCACUGUGUGAUUUAUUCGUUAGGCCAGAGGUGUGAAAGUGGUGGCCUCCAUUCUCUACGGUGUUGGGCAAUAGGCAGGGUGCCAAUGGAAUGCCGAUGUACUAUGCCAUCAUCACCUCUAUCAUUUCCCGAUGCGGUGGGUUGCUGUCCUUCGAACGACCCUUUGGUUUGCUUUGGGUUCCAUGACGUGUUUUCUACUCUUAUGUGUGUUUACCUUCCUGGUUUUGCAACAUUUGGUGCUUACCAUGCAUGCCGAUGAGGUGCUUGGAGCUCCAUUGUGCAUUUGAAUUUUGGCGGAGAGGGUAGCUUCGUCAAAUCCUUUCUAGGUUUCAAGAACCGAGUCUUUUCAAACCUGAUCAUAAUCCAAGCUGCAGCUCUGAUUUCAAGCAUCCAACACCCACCCACUCAAAAGGUAGUAGUACAGUACUGUUAGUCCAUUGAAACCACAGAGGCAGCAGGAUAAGGGAGAUAAACGUAGUAUGGCGGAUGCAUGCGGUAGCAUACUGUCCAAUCAUCCCUUAUCUCAAUCCAUAUCAAGCUUUGAAUUUUCGGUCGAUAUUGUUGUUAUAUCUACCAUUCGCUAUUGCAUAUAAUUUUAUAAUUUGGGUAAA